UACGGAGGGGGCAAGCGUUAUUCGGAAUUAUUGGGCGUAAAGGGCGCGUAGGCGGCCCGGUAAGUCAAAGGUGAAAUCCCUCGGCUCAACUGAGGAACUGCCUUUGAAACUGUCGGGCUUGAGGCCGGGAGGGGGUAGCGGAAUUCCCAGUGUAGCGGUGAAAUGCGUAGAUAUUGGGAGGAACACCGGUGGCGAAGGCGGCUACCUGGACCGGUUCUGACGCUGAGGUGCGAAAGCGUGGGGAGCAAACAGG
rnacentral:rRNA from 1 species